rnacentral:rRNA from 1 species
AUUGAACGCUGGCGGCGUGCCUAACACAUGCAAGUCGAGCGGUAACAGGUGUAGCAAUACAUGCUGACGAGCGGCGGACGGGUGAGUAACGCUUGGGAAUCUGCCUAUUAGUGGGGGACAACCCGGGGAAACUCGGGCUAAUACCGCAUACGCACUACGGUGGAAAGCCGGGGACCGCAAGGCCUGGCGCUAACAGAUGAGCCCAAGUCGGAUUAGCUAGUUGGUAGGGUAACGGCCUACCAAGGCGACGAUCCGUAACUGGUCUGAGAGGACGACCAGUCACACCGGAACUGAGACACGGUCCGGACUCCUACGGGAGGCAGCAGUGGGGAAUAUUGGACAAUGGGCGAAAGCCUGAUCCAGCGACGCCGCGUGGGUGAAGAAGGCCUGCGGGUUGUAAAGCCCUUUCAGUGGGGAAGAAAAGCCUCGAGCUAACACCUCGGGGUCUUGACGUAACCCAUAGAAGAAGCACCGGCUAACUCUGUGCCAGCAGCCGCAGU